rnacentral:rRNA from 1 species
AUUGAACGCUGGCGGCAUGCCUUACACAUGCAAGUCGAACGGUAACAGGUCUUCGGAUGCUGACGAGUGGCGAACGGGUGAGUAAUACAUCGGAACGUGCCUAGUAGUGGGGGAUAACUACUCGAAAGAGUGGCUAAUACCGCAUGAGAUCUACGGAUGAAAGCAGGGGAUCGCAAGACCUUGUGCUACUAGAGCGGCCGAUGGCGGAUUAGGUAGUUGGUGGGAUAAAAGCUUACCAAGCCGACGAUCUGUAGCUGGUCUGAGGGGACGAUCAGCAACACGGGGACUGAGACACGGCCCAGACUCCUCCGGGAGGCAGCAGUGGGGAAUUUUGGACAAUGGGCGCAAGCCUGAUCCAGCAAUGCCGCGUGCAGGAUGAAGGCCUUCGGGUUGUAAACUGCUUUUGUACGGAACGAAAAGCCCUGGGUUAAUACCCUGGGGUCAUGACGGUACCGUAAGAAUAAGCACCGGCUAACUACGUGCCAGCCGCCGCAGUAAUAC